rnacentral:sRNA from 1 species
GUCGUGAGAUGUUGGGUUAAGUCCCGCAACGAGCGCAACCCCUAUCCCAUGUUGCCAGCGGAUCAUGCCGGGGACUCGUGGGAGACUGCCGGUGCCAAACCGGAGGAAGGUGGGGAUGACGUCAAGUCAUCAUGCCCCUUACGUCCAGGGCUGCACACAUGCUACAAUGGCCGGUACAAAGGGUUGCUACUUCGCGAGAAGACGCCAAUCCCAAAAAGCCGGUCUCAGUUCGGAUCGCAGUCUGCAACUCGACUGCGUGAAGUCGGAGUCGCUAGUAAUCGCAGAUCAGCAACGCUGCGGUGAAUACGUUCCCGGGCCUUGUACACACCGCCCGUCACACCACGAAAGUUGGUAACACCCGAAGCCGGUGGCCCAACCCUUGGGGGGGAGCCGUCGAAGGUGGGAUCAGCGAUUGGGGUGAAGUCGUAACAAGGUAGCCGUACCGGAAGGUGCGGCUGGAUCACCUCCUUUCUAAGGAGUGCACUGUCCGAUAGGACUCACUUAUCGGAUACUCCUACGUCGAUCACUGGUUACUCGGGUCAUUCAGGUCGAGAGUCCGACCCCCAUAUCUCAUAUCCAGCAGUUUUGGAUGGCGGGUGUGGGCACCACCGGGCCGCUGAAGAACCCGGACGUCAACUGUUCCGUUUUGAGGGAGCUGCAUGCCGGCGUGCUACGCCGACGCCUCCUUCUCGAGGCCUUUCGCGCGCUCGUCCACCUGACCUCUGCGAGCUUGGGUGGCUCGCGCUGCGCCUCGUCCGUCCCUUGAGAACUGCAGAGCGAGCACGAGCAUCUAUACGAAACAGUGCAAGGAGAAAUCCCAAGCUAUGAAGAGCCAACGGUGGAUGCCUUGGCGCCAGAUGCCGAUGAAGGACGUGGGUGGCUGCGAAAAGCCACGGGGAGCUGUCGACCGAGCGUUGAUCCGUGGAUAU